AUUGAACGCUGGCGGCAGGCCUAACACAUGGAAGUCGAACGGUAACAGAAAGCAGCUUGCUGCUUUGCUGACGAGUGGCGGACGGGUGAGUAAUGUCUGGGAAACUGCCUGAUGGAGGGGGAUAACUACUGGAAACGGUAGCUAAUACCGCAUAACGUCGCAAGACCAAAGAGGGGGACCUUCGGGCCUCUUGCCAUCGGAUGUGCCCAGAUGGGAUUAGCUAGUAGGUGGGGUAACGGCUCACCUAGGCGACGAUCCCUAGCUGGUCUGAGAGGAUGACCAGCCACACUGGAACUGAGACACGGUCCAGACUCCUACGGGAGGCAGCAGUGGGGAAUAUUGCACAAUGGGCGCAAGCCUGAUGCAGCCAUGCCGCGUGUAUGAAGAAGGCCUUCGGGUUGUAAAGUACUUUCAGCGGGGAGGAAGGGAGUAAAGUUAAUACCUUUGCUCAUUGACGUUACCCGCAGAAGAAGCACCGGCUAACUCCGUG
rnacentral:rRNA from 1 species